GGGGAUAUAACUCAGUUGGUAGAGUGCUUGCCUUGCAUGCACAAAGCCCUGGGUUCAAUCCCCAGCAUGCUCC
rnacentral:tRNA from 1 species